rnacentral:rRNA from 1 species
UUUCCUACGGGGGGCACCAGUGGGGAAUAUUGCACAAUGGGGGAAACCCUGAUGCAGCGACGCCGCGUGAAGGAAGAAGUAUUUCGGUAUGUAAACUUCUAUCAGCAGGGAAGAAAAUGACGGUACCUGACUAAGAAGCCCCGGCUAACUACGUGCCAGCAGCCGCGGUAAUACGUAGGGAGCGAGCGUUGUCCGGAAUUACUGGGUGUAAAGGGAGCGUAGGCGGGACUGCAAGUUGGGUGUCAAAUCUACCGGCUCAACCGGUAGCCGCACUCCACACU